ACCUGUGUGGUGCAAAUGGUUAGCACAUUCAACUACUAAGUGAAAGGCUGAUGGUUUAAGUCCCCCCAGAGGCA
rnacentral:tRNA from 1 species